CCCGCUCAGAAACUCAAAUGAAUUGACGGGGCCCGCACAAGCGGAGGAGCAUGUGGUUUAAUUCGAUGAUACGCGAGGAACCUUACCUGGGCUCGAACGUAAGAUGACUGUAGGUGAAAGCUUACAUCUCUUCGGAGCAUUUUACGAGGUGCUGCAUGGUUGUCGUCAGCUCGUGCCGUGAGGUGUCGGGUUAAGUCCCAUAACGAGCGCAACCCCUACCUUUAGUUGCCAUCAGGUUAAGCUGGGGACUCUAAAGGAACUGCCUACGCAAGUAGUGAGGAAGGCGGGGAUGACGUCAAAUCAGCACGGCCCUUACGUCCAGGGCUACACACGUGCUACAAUGGCCGAUACAGAGGGCAGCUACCUGGUGACAGGAUGCAAAUCUCCAAAGUCGGUCUCAGUUCGGAUCGGAGUCUGCAACCCGACUCCGUGAAGUUGGAUUCGCUAGUAAUCGCGCAUCAGCCAUGGCGCGGUGAAUACGUUCCCGGGCCUU
rnacentral:rRNA from 1 species